UACGAAGGGGGCUAGCGUUGUUCGGAAUUACUGGGCGUAAAGCGUGCGCAGGCGGCCUUCCAAGUCAGGGGUGAAAGCCCAGAGCUCAACUCUGGAAUUGCCUUUGAGACUGUGAGGCUUGAGUACGGGAGAGGUGAGUGGAAUUCCCAGUGUAGAGGUGAAAUUCGUAGAUAUUGGGAAGAACACCGGUGGCGAAGGCGGCUCACUGGCCCGAAACUGACGCUCAUGCACGACAGCGUGGGGAUCAAACAGG
rnacentral:rRNA from 2 species